UACGAAGGGGGCUAGCGUUGUUCGGAAUUACUGGGCGUAAAGGGCGCGUAGGCGGUUUGUCAAGUCAGGCGUGAAAUCCCAGGGCUCAACCCUGGAACUGCCUUUAAUACUGGCAAUCUCGAGUCCGAGAGAGGUGAGUGGAAUUCCGAGUGUAGAGGUGAAAUUCGUAGAUAUUCGGAGGAACACCAGUGGCGAAGGCGGCUCACUGGCUCGGUACUGACGCUGAGGUGCGAAAGCGUGGGGAGCAAACAGG
rnacentral:rRNA from 1 species